rnacentral:lncRNA from 1 species
UUCCUUCCUCAGGAAAGGACCUUUGGGCAGCAAGGAAGGAAGGAAGGAAGGAAGGAAAGAAGGAAGAAAGGAAGGAGAAAAAUAAAUUAUCCAAGAACUGAAACUCACCAGAUCACCACAUCCUUUCAACUUAUGGCCCAAGAAAAUAGAAGUCAGAAUCAAAAUCCAGCAUGCAGAACUUGUUGUAAAACAUGGCAGUACAGACGUGCCUUUCACCUUCUUCCACGAUUAUGAGGACUGCCAGCCACUUGGAACUACUCUCAAAAAGUACCAGAAGUAACUCAUGAGUAAGUUACUCAACCAGGAAAAGCACAUAGAACAGCAUAGAGAUUGCCUUAAGGAAGAAGCUACUGCUGCUGCCAUUCUGCAUUGGGAAGCUCAUCAAACACAUCAUGGGUAUUAUAGGUGAGUCAGGGGGCUGGAUAGUAGAAACCCUGACACUACUAUUCCCCCUAAAGCUUGAUAUCUCCAAUGCCUAAAGAAAGAAUGAAUUUUGUGUACCUCUGCUUUUUCAUUUCUGAAUCAUAGACUUGCAUAUAUCUGCUAAUUAGAAAGGUAAGUUUUGGUUUCUACAUUGAUAGGUGUGAAUCAUAAUAGGAUAAAAUUCUCAAGCCAAAAAAGGAAUUCAAAAGAUGCUUAAUGAUUACUAUAUAAUAAUUUCUUUUCUACAUCAAUUUCUAUGUAAUUCUGUGAAUUUACUUUUAUUUCUUUCCACAUAUUGAUAGGAAGCAUUGCCUUCAGAAUAAUGAAUGAAUACUUUUCACCCUUCGCAGGACUUGCUACAUUGGUCUUUGCUAGCUUCAAUGCCUGGAAUGCAAACUUCGGGUCCCUUGUUAGUAGAAAGAUGCACAGAUGCGGCUCUGUUGACUCAGUUGUUUAAAUACAUAUUGUCAAACAAAAUAUUUGCAGCACUGAUGCCAAGUUCCUCCUGACAUUCACAAUAAUAUUGAAUUUGACUCAACCAAACAAGUGUGACAAUAUGUGGAAUAAAAUUUCAUCUAGGUUUUAUCUGGUUUCAAACUCUCUUAGAUUUAACACUCUUUUGUGGUUUUCAAUUUGAAACAGAAUUUGGCUAAGUUUUGGUGAUUGAAGCUGUAGAGCCAUUAAAUUAAAAAGGUAUGCUACUACUAUUUAAAGCGUCGUUUAGCUUAAUGCUAAAUUGUCCUCAAAAUUGUUCCAGUUUAAGCCUGCAAAAAGCUUUACAAUAUGAUCAUUUUCUGGAGAUCAUUUUUCUUGAAGGUUGAAACUAAAUUACUAUGAAAAUAUUUUCAGUAUUAUUUAAAUAAAAACUUUAGAACCUCAUGGAAUGUGUGCAAGUAAUUCCUGUAUCUUUUCAUUACAAUAACAACACUUUAACAGAAGUAGAAUUUUUUUUAACGAAGUGACUUUUCUUUUUUCUUUUUCUUUUUUAUUUUUCUUUCUUUCUUUUUUUUUUUUUUUUUGAGAUAGGGUCUUACUCUGUUGCCCAGGCUGGAGUGCAGUGACGCCAUCUUGGUUCACUGGAACUUCUGCCUGUUAGACUCAAGCAAUCCUCACACCUCAGUCUCCUGAGUAGCUGGGACUACAGGCAUCUGCCACUAUGCCCGGCUAAUUUUUUGUAUUUCUGUUAGAGAUGGGGUUUCACCGUGUUGCCCGGGCUGGUCUCAAACUCCUGGGCUCAAGCAAUCCACCUGCCUCAGCCUCCCAAUGUGCUGGGAUUACAGGAGUGAGUCACGACGCACAGCCAACAAAGUGAUUUUUAUCUGAAAGUAAUUGCUUUAGGUAAGCACACACAAAAACAUACUUAGAAAAAAUAAUGAGAUGCUAAUAAAACCUAUUUUCCCCUACUUGUAUAUAUUUUCGUUACAGCAUUUAAAGAAGAAUGUAUCACAAUCUGUUGUACACAGAUAUCACUCCAAUUUGGACUCUGAAUGCUUUGAUUAUGCCUGUCUUUAUAUUUGUGCUUUCUAGUACCUAGUAAUAUAUCUCAUAAUUAGUGGGGGUUUUACAAAUAUGAAAAGAAGAAAGUCAUGGAAGAAAAUGGAAUGGAAGAGGAGCAUAAAGGAGAAAUGCAAGGAAGCAACCCAGGAACAAAUACAUGUUUUAAUAUUUUCUCCCAUUCACCAUAUAGAGAGUUAAGUACACUAACUGUGUCAUGGCAAACACUAAUACCACUAUGUUAUUAUGGUAUUGUAAAUUAACAACUGUUUUUUUCAAAAGGUGUAAACCUGUGACACGUAUUUCCAUAUUUAUACAUUCGAAGUGAACCUAAGACUUGAUAUAUAAAUGCACUUUGAUUUUGGGGGCCCAGGGGGUACUGGGCAGCCUGUAAUCAUUGGCUUAAUUAUAGCCUAAAGAAAGUGAUUAGAGUGAUAAGAAAGUAGAAAACAUAUGGAGAAGCAGGGCAUUUAAAUAGAGAUAAGAAAUAAAAGUGGAACAUGAUCAUGGUUCUCUGUGUGACAUGGAGGGAAUAAAAUUAAAAAUACAUCAGCUCAAAAAGUAACUAUGUCACCAUCUUGUUCUAUGAACUUGGGUAUAUUACUUAAUUUUCUAAAUGGCUUUUUCUUCUUAUAUAAAAUGUUGUUACUAACACAAUCUUCAAAGUGUUCUGAGAGCUAAGUUAAAAAGCAAGUAAACAACUGCUGAUUAACAUUUUAUGUAAGAACUGACAAUUUUAAGAUAUUUUUCUUUAUACACCUGACCUUAUCUCAAUCAAUUUAGACUUAAUGAUCUCUAUGAUUUUGGGGUAGAAUGCCGGAGAACAAAAAGAAAAAAAAUGUUUAAACUUUAAACAGAUACAUCCUUAGGAACACUAAAGAAAAAUAAUAGGCUUCACCCCUAGAUUAUUUAAUUAAUAUUCAUUUAUUACCACCUACUAC